CAAUCGUAAGCCUGUGCGUACCCCUAGACACUCCCCUUACGCUGUCCUAUAAGAUCUCUUGGGAGGCCCUAGGAGCCGUCUUUUGCGAGCCAUCCGCCAUGGCGGGUGGGUGAAAGACCCGAGCUAACAUGGGGUUAGCUCGUUAAAUUACAAUAAAGCCUCGUGCAGUUUGCAUCAAGCUCUCGAAUCUGCCUGGUGAUUGGGGUGACCGCAGUCGUGGCCUGGGACCCGGAUACUUGAGUUUUCGGGGGGGGGUCCUAACAUUUGGGGGCUCGUCUGGGAUUUGCGACCACCCCUCACCUGAGUGGAUUCGAUCUUGGAGUUUGGAAGCUGAAGUCCUAGAAAAAAAAAAAAAUCAGGAAACCUUGUCUCAAAAGAAAAACCAACAAAAAAAAAAAGAUAGUGCCUGCUUCCACUUCCGUCUUCCACGGCCAUUGAAAUCCACUGAGCUCUACCACCAUGCAGAGGCAGGCAAGUGAAAGCUGGCCAGACCCUGGGUGAUUCCAUCCCUCCCUAAAUAAAAAGGCUAAACACUGACAAAGGAGAUGCUAAGAAGCCAAGAUGCCAUCCUAUGCAUUCUUCAUGCAAACCCACGAGUCAGGCUCAAGAAGCAGCAGUCAGACGCUUCAGUCAGCUCCUCAGAGUCUUCCAAAAAGUCUUGGAGAAGUGGGAGACCAGGCAGGUCUGCCAAAGAAAAAUGAACAUGAGGGUACGGCAAAAGAGGACCAAACUGUUAUGUUCUGAAUAUUGCAAAUUACAUCCCUGCUUAUCGAUGUGACGUGAGGACCUGGGAGAGGUGGCUUACCCCUGCAAGCCAGCAGCUUUAGGAAAAUAGGAUAUUACCGUCUGCAGAGGGAAAGGACAUUCUGGUGAAUCAAAAAAAAAAAAAAAAAAAAAAAAAAGGAACUGCCAAGGCUGAAAAGACUAAGAAAAAGAGGAAAGACCAGGAGGAGGAGGUGGUGGAGAUGGUGGCAGCCACUCUCAGUUCUAACAGUUAUUUCUUCUUUUCUACAGAGUGUAUAAUUCCUCUGCACAUGACUCACUAGUUUUCUUGUUUGUUUGUUUUUUGGGGUUUUGGUUUUUUUUGGUUUCUCGAGACAGGAUUUCUCUGUGGCUUUGGAGGCUGUCCUGGAACUAGCUCUUGUAGACCAGGCUGGCCUCAAACUCAGAGAUCCGCCUGCCUCUGGCUCCCGAGUGCUGGGAUUAAAGGCGUGCACCACCAACGCCCGGCUACAACUCACUAGUUUUAAGGAAAAGAAGAUUGGAAUCAAAGGCUUUUUAAAAUAGGCGUCUUAGUUAGGUUUCCUACUGCUGUGAUAAAACAGCAACAACAACAAAAAUAUAUCAAAAAAACACCAUGAGCAAAAGCAGCUGGAGGAAGAAAGGGUUUAUUUGUCUUAAAUUUCUGCGUCACAGAAGGAAGGAACUCAAGUUAGGGCCGGAACUCAAGGCAGGAACUUAAGGCAGGAACAGAAGCAGAAGCAGAGGCAGGACACUGCUUACUGCCUCCACCCCAUUGCUUACUCAACCGGCCUUCUUAUACAACCCAGGACUACCCUCCCAAGCCUGAGCCUCCCAGAACUGGGAGGCAGAAACAGGCAGAUCUAUUGAGUGCAAGGCCAACCUGGUCUACAUAGGGAGUUCCAGACCAACCAGGGCUACACGGUGAGACCCUGUCUUGAAAAGAAAUAAUAAUAAAAUUAAAAGCCAGAUGUGGUGGCUCACAUCUGUAGUCCUAGCAUUCCUAUGUCAAAAUGGGAAGAAUUGGCCAGAAGCUCAGAUAUGCAGUCCCUGGGUGUCUCCAUCAGGAGAAUCAAAGUUCAAAGCCAGCAUGAGCUGGAGAGCUCCAAAGUCCCAAGUCAUCCUAAACCAUAAUAAGCAAACUAAUAAAUAAAAAUAAAAACAACACAACAAAACCAAAACAAGUGGAGAUAGGGCAGAGAAAUGUCUCAGUGGUCAAGAGCACUUGCUGUUCUUGCAGAAGACCCAGGUUUGGUUCUGAGCACCCACAAACCAUCUGUAACUGCAGUUCCAGGGGGUCAAACAUUCUUUUCUGACCUCCUUGGGCACUGCAUGCAUACGGUAUACCCACAGACAAGCGGGCACAAACACAUUCAAACAAAUAGAAUAUUUUAAAUGAAUCACUGGGUAGAUGUAUUUAUUUGUAAAUGAUACAUUCAUUGCAAUUUCACUAAUAUAAAAUCUAAAAGCAACCUGGAGGUGGUGGUCCAUGCCUUUAAUCUCAGCAUUUGGGAGGCAGAAGCAGGCAGAUCUCUGAGUUCCAGGUCAGCCUAGUCUACAGAGAGAGUUCCAGGACAACCAGAGCUACACAGAAAAACCCUGUCUCAAAAAGAAAGAAAAAAAAGCAUAUAGAGCUGGUCAUGGUAACAAACUCCUUUAACCCCAGAACUCAGGAGAUAGAAGCAGAUGGAGCUCUGUGGAUUUAAGACCAGCCUGGUCUACAAAGCAAGUUCUGGGACAGCCAGGACUACAUAACAGAAAAAAAUAAAAUAAAAGCUUAUAAAAUAAUACACAUUGUUUCUAGAUAUACACAAAAUAUAAAGUAUAAAAAUAGAUAAAGAAUUGUUAAAUACUCAGGGUCAUAGCUGAGGAUACAGCUCAGUGAUAGAGACUUGCCUAGCAUCUGCAAGGCCCUGGGUUCAAUCCCUAGUACCACACUUUUUAAAAUUAUUUAUUUAUUUAUUUAUUUUCAAGACAGGAUUUCUCUUUGUAGUCCUGGCUGUCCUGGAAGUCCUUCUGUAGACCAGGCUGGCCUCAAACUCAAAGAUCCACCUGCCUCAGCCUCCCAAGUGCUCCCAAGUACUGAGAUCAAAGACAUGUGCCCCACAUCUGGUUCACUUUUAAAGUGUGUGUGUGUGUGUGUGUGUGUGUGUGUGUGUGUGUGUGUGUGUUGUGUGUGUGUGUGUGUGUGUAUGCCUGCGUGCAAAUGUACGUGAUAUGUGUCUGUGUGAGUACAGGUACAUGAAUGCAUGGAACAUGUGUAGAAACCAAAGUACAACUUUUGGUUUUCUCUUUUGACUUUGAGUUCCAGGAAUCAAACUGAGGAAGUUAGUCGGGUUUUUGUCAGCAAGUGCUGAGCCACCCCACAGACCUAGCAUCACCUAAAGCUAAAAAUACUUGAUGAUGGAUAUUACAUCAGUCAAGUGAUUGACUAAAACCUUCAGUCUCAGAUUAAGAAGGGAAGGGAAGCCGGGUGGUGUGGCGCAAACCUUUAAUCCCAGCACUCGGGAGGCAGAGGCAGGCGGAUCUCUGUGAGUUCGAGACCAGCCUGGUCUACAAGAGCUAGUUCCAGGACAGCCUCCCAAAGCCACAGAGAAACCCUGUCUCGAAAAACGAAAGAAAAAAAAAAGGGGGGGGGAUAACUCUUCGACUGAUGGUUUUUUGUCUUAAUCCAGGGAGGUUAUAGACUCUACUUCUUAGGAGGGCUGGAGAGAUAGCCCAGUGGUUAAGGAAGUGUAUGGCUCUUACAAAGGACCUGAGUUCAAUUCCCAGCGCCCCCAUCAGUUAGCUCACACCUGCCUGUAACUCCAGACCCUGGGGAAAGGAAACCUGCCUCUACACACCACAAGCACAUACCGUAUAAUUCAAAACAAAUCUUUUUAAAUUAACUAAUUAAAAUAAUUGUGGGCCAGAGAGACUACUCAGCAGGUAAGAGCACUUGCCACCAAGCCUGACAGCCUGUUUGAUCCCCUGAAUCCACAUGGUGACAAGACAGAAGGAACUCCAGCAAAUUGUCCUCUGACCUCCGAAUGUGUUCUGUGGCAAAAGCUAGUUCUGCCUCAAACACACACAUAAAUAAAUGUAAAAAAAAAAAGAAAAAAAAGUUUUUAAGCAAAAAUCAAAGUGGAACAUACAAAAAAGACAGGAGACUUAGCUCAGUGGCACAGUCUUUCUUCUAAGGUUCAAUUUCUCAGUUUAGGGGCGGGGGUAGAAAAAAAAUGUACCAAGUGCUAUGGAAGUGCAAGUCAUAGCUGAACUCAUGGUGACUCCCUUUGUUACAUACUCCCAUAGAGUGUCACUUUCCCUGAGGUCACCGGUGAGAAGUGAGACUGGAAAACCUCCCGGGAAGAAAAGACUCAAUAGUUUCUGCGAGUCAGUGGCCGUUACCGUUUGAACUUUCAUCAGGAACAUGCAUUACUUAAGCGGUGGCAAAAGUAAUCUAAUUGUUAAUUAAAACAGCAAGUGUUUAAAUAGGCUCUUUUUUUUUAAUAUAAAUAGGCACAUCCUAAUUUCAUUGCCUCCAGAGAGAAGGUCGCAUUUUACUAUAGGAAGGGAACUGCUAAGGACUAGGGUUAUAGCUCAGGCGGGAAAGCAUGACCGUGGGCCGGGUUCGAUCCCCAGUACAGGAACAACCGAAAAGCACCCGCACGAGAAGAGCCACGUAGAAUAAAAGGGUCGGACAGCGUUCUUGGGCCCCGGGGCUCCCCCAGACCCCUCGGGAAAGGCUUGGCGACUGCAGGACCCUCCCCAGGAGGCGCCGUUAGGGGGCGCUCGCGAGGCGGUAGCCGACAUUCGCGCCUCUCCGUUACAUGCCCCAGUAACCCCAGCGCCGGCGACCGAGAGUAACCUCGCGGUCUGGUGACGCCCCCGCACCCCCCCCCGC
ensembl:lncRNA